rnacentral:rRNA from 1 species
UACGUAGGGUGCAAGCGUUGUCCGGAAUUAUUGGGCGUAAAGAGCUCGUAGGCGGUCUGUCGCGUCUGCUGUGAAAACUCAGGGCUUAACCCUGAGCUUGCAGUGGGUACGGGCAGACUAGAGUGCGGUAGGGGAGACUGGAAUUCCUGGUGUAGCGGUGAAAUGCGCAGAUAUCAAGGGAGGGAACACCGGUGGGCGAAGGCGGGUCUCUGGGCCGUAACUGGACGCUGG